rnacentral:rRNA from 1 species
UACGGGGGGAGCAAGCGUUGUUCGGAUUUACUGGGCGUAAAGGGCGCGUAGGCGGCCACCGCAAGUCGGUUGUGAAAUCUCCGGGCUUAACUCGGAAAGGUCAACUGAUACUGUGCGACUAGAGUGCGGAAGGGGCAACUGGAAUUCUUGGUGUAGCGGUGAAAUGCGUAGAUAUCAAGAGGAACACCUGCGGCGAAGGCGGGUUGCUGGGCCGACACUGACGCUGAGGCGCGAAAGCCAGGGGAGCGAACGGG